rnacentral:rRNA from 1 species
AUGCCUACGGGACGCAGCAGUGGGGAAUAUUGGGCAAUGGACGCAAGUCUGACCCAGCAACGCCGCGUGAAGGAAGAAGGCUUUCGGGUUGUAAACUUCUUUUAAGGGGGAAGAGCAGAAGACGGUACCCCUUGAAUAAGCCACGGCUAACUACGUGCCAGCAGCCGCGGCAAUACGUAGGUGGCAAGCGUUGUCCGGAUUUACUGGGUGUAAAGGGCGUGCAGCCGGGGAGACGAGUCAGAUGUGAAAUCCCCGCGCUCAACGUGGGAACUGCCUUUGAAACUGGCAAACUGGAGUGGGUGAGG